CCUACGGGCGGCUGCAGUGGGGAAUAUUGGGCAAUGGAGGAAACUCUGACCCAGCAACGCCGCGUGAAUGAUGAAGGUCUUCGGAUUGUAAAGUUCUUUUCUAAGGGAAGUAGAAAGUGACGGUACCUUAGGAAUAAGCCUCGGCUAACUACGUGCCAGCAGCCGCGGUAAUACGUAGGAGGCAAGCGUUGUUCGGAAUUACUGGGCGUAAAGGGAGCGUAGGCGGGAGAUUAAGUUAGGAGUGAAAGCCUUGGGCUCAACCCAAGAAAUGCUCUUAAUACUGGUUUUCUAGAGUGUAGGAGAGGUAAGUGGAAUUCGUGGUGUAGCGGUAGAAUGCGUAGAGAUUAGGAAGAACAUCAGAGGCGAAGGCAGCUUACUGGACCAUAACUGACACUGAGGCUCGAAAGCGUGGGGAUCAAACAGGAUUAGAUACCCCUGUAGUC
rnacentral:rRNA from 1 species